GAUGAACGCUGGCGGCGUGCCUAAUACAUGCAAGUCGAGCGAACAGACGAGGAGCUUGCUCCUCUGACGUUAGCGGCGGACGGGUGAGUAACACGUGGAUAACCUACCUAUAAGACUGGGAUAACUUCGGGAAACCGGAGCUAAUACCGGAUAAUAUAUUGAACCGCAUGGUUCAAUAGUGAAAGACGGUUUUGCUGUCACUUAUAGAUGGAUCCGCGCCGCAUUAGCUAGUUGGUAAGGUAACGGCUUACCAAGGCAACGAUGGGUAGCCCACCUGAGAGGGUGAUCGGCCACAAUGGAACUGAGACACGGUCCAGACUCCUACGGGAGGAAGAAGUAGGGAAUCUUCCGCAAUGGUCGAAAGACUGACGGAGCAACGCCGCGUGAGGGAUGAAGGUCUUCGGAUCGUAAAACUCUGUUAUUAGGGAAGAACAAAUGUGUAAGUAACUAUGCACGUCUUGACGGUACCUAAUCAGAAAGCCACGGCUAACUACGUG
rnacentral:rRNA from 1 species